rnacentral:rRNA from 1 species
UCUUCUCAAGAUUAAGCCAUGCAUGUCUAAGUAUAAGCAAUUAUCCGUGAACUGCGAAUGGCUCAUUAAAUCAGUUAUCGUUUAUUGAUAAUACCUACUACUUGGAUAACCGUGGUAAUUCUAGAGCUAAUACAUGCUGAAAAUCCCGACUUCGGAAGGGAUGUGUUUAUUAGAUAAAAAACCAAUGCCCUUCGGGGCUUUUUGGUGAUUCAUGAUAACUUUACGGAUCGCAUAGCCUUGCGCUGGCGACGGUUCAUUCAAAUUUCUGCCCUAUCAACUUUCGAUGGUAAGGUAUUGGCUUACCAUGGUUUCAACGGGUAACGGGGAAUUAGGGUUCGAUUCCGGAGAGGGAGCCUGAGAAACGGCUACCACAUCCAAGGAAGGCAGCAGGCGCGCAAAUUACCCAAUCCCGACACGGGGAGGUAGUGACAAUAAAUACUGAUACAGGGCUCUUUUGGGUCUUGUAAUUGGAAUGAGUACAAUUUAAACCUCUUAACGAGGAACAAUUGGAGGGCAAGUCUGGUGCCAGCAGCCGCGGUAAUUCCAGCUCCAAUAGCGUAUAUUAAAGUUGUUGCAGUUAAAAAGCUCGUAGUUGAAACUUGGGCCUGGCUGGCGGGUCCGCCUCACCGCGUGCACUCGUCCGGCCGGGCCUUCCUUCUGAAGAACCUCAUGCCCUUCACUGGGCGUGCUGGGGAAUCAGGACUUUUACUUUGAAAAAAUUAGAGUGUUCAAAGCAGGCCUUUGCUCGAAUACGUUAGCAUGGAAUAAUAAAAUAGGGCGUGCGUUUCUAUUUUGUUGGUUUCUAGAGACGCCGCAAUGAUUAACAGGAACAGUCGGGGGCAUCAGUAUUCAGUUGUCAGAGGUGAAAUUCUUGGAUUUACUGAAGACUAACUACUGCGAAAGCAUUUGCCAAGGAUGUUUUCAUUAAUCAGUGAACGAAAGUUAGGGGAUCGAAGACGAUCAGAUACCGUCGUAGUCUUAACCGUAAACUAUGCCGACUAGGGAUCGGGCGAUGUUCUUUUUCUGACUCGCUCGGCACCUUACGAGAAAUCAAAGUUAGUAGUCAUAUGCGACUGAUUGAUCAC